rnacentral:rRNA from 1 species
AUUGAACGCUGGCGGCACGCCUAACACAUGCAAGUCGAGCGGCAGCAUGCUUAGUAGCAAUACUAAGUGAUGGCGAGCGGCGGACGGGUGAGGAACACGUAGGAACCUGCCCAAGAGAGGGGGAUAACUAAGGGAAACUUUAGCUAAUACCGCAUAAUCUCUGAGGAGAAAAGCUGCCCGUAAGGGUAGCGCUUUUGGAGGGGCCUGCGUCCGAUUAGCUAGUUGGUGAGGUAAAAGCUCACCAAGGCGAUGAUCGGUAACUGGUCUGAGAGGACGACCAGUCACACUGGAACUGAGACACGGCCCAGACUCCUACGGGAGGCAGCAGUGGGGAAUCUUGGACAAUGGGGGCAACCCUGAUCCAGCGAUGCCGCGUGGGUGAAGAAGGCCUUCGGGUUGUAAAGCCCUUUAGGCUGGGAAGAAGUGUGCGGGAUGAAUAAUCCUGUACAUUGACGGUACCAGCAGAAUAAGCACCGGCAAACUCUGUGCCAGCAGCCGCGGUAA